GAUGAACGCUGGCGGCGUGCCUAAUACAUGCAAGUCGAGCGAACAGACGAGGAGCUUGCUCCUCUGACGUUAUCGGCGGACGGGUGAGUAACACGUGGAUAACCUACCUAUAAGACUGGGAUAACUUCGGGAAACCGGAGCUAAUACCGGAUAAUAUAUUGAACCGCAUGGUUCAAUAGUGAAAGACGGUUUUGCUGUCACUUAUAGAUGGAUCCGCGCCGCAUUAGCUAGUUGGUAAGGUAACGGCUUACCAAGGCAACGAUGCGUAGCCGACCUGAGAGGGUGAUCGGCCACACUGGAAGUGAGACACGGUCCAGACUCCUACGGGAGGAAGCAGUAGGGAAUCUUACGCAAUGGGCGAAAGGCUGGCGGAGCAACGCCGCGUGAGUGAUGAAGGUCUUCGGAUCGGAAAACUCUGUUAUUAGGGAAGAACAAAUGUGUAAGUAACUAUGCACGUAUUGACGGUACCUAAUCAGAAAGCCACGGCUAACUACGUG
rnacentral:rRNA from 1 species